rnacentral:lncRNA from 1 species
UUAUUCAGCUUCGGUAAUGAGUCGGUAAUUAAUCAGCUGCUGCCACCCAAAUUCCAGCCAAAUCCCAAAACCUUCAUCCCAAAAAUCCCAAAAUUCCCAAAUCCUUCAUCCCAAAACCCCAAAUCUCCAUCCCAAAAAUCCCAAAUUCCCAAACCCUUCAUCCCAAAAAUCCCAAAUUUCCCAAAACCUUCAUCCCAAAAAUCCCAAAAUUCCCAAAACCUUCAUCCCAAAAAUCCCAAAAUUCCCAAAUCCUUCAUCCCAAAAAUCCCAAAAUUCCCAAAUCCUUCAUCCCAAAUCCCAAACUCUUCAUCCCAAAAAUCCCAAAAUUCCAAAAUCUUCAUCCCAAAAUCCCCAAAUUCCCAAAUCUUUCAUCCCAAAAUUCCCAAAUCCCAAAAUUCCCAAAUCCCAAAAUUUCCAUCCCAAAAAUCCCCAAAUUUCCAAAUCUUCACCCCAAAUCCCAAAAUCUCCAUCCCAAAAAUCCCAAAUUCCAAAAUCUUCAUCCCAAAAAUACCAACUUUCCAGAUUCCAAAAUCUUCAUCCCAAAAAUAUCAAAAAUUCCCAAAAUCUUCAUCCCAACAAUCCCAAAAUUCCCAAAUUAUUCAUCCCAAAAUUCCCAAAUCCUCAAAUCCCAAAAUUCCCAAAUCCCAAAAUUCCCAAAAAUCCCAAAUCCCAAAUCCCAAAAUCUUUAUCCCCAAAAUCCCAAAAUUCCCAAAAUCUCCAUCCCAAAAAUCCCAAAAUUCCCAAAUCCCAAAACGUUCAUCCCCAAAAUCCCAAAUUCCCAAAUUCUUCAUCCCAAAAUUCCCAAAUCCUCAAAUCCCAAAAUCUUCAUCCCAAAUCCCAAAAUCUUCAUCCCAAAAAUCCCAACUUUCCAGAUUCCAAAAUCUUCAUCCCAAAAUCCCCAAAUUCCCAAAUCCUUCAUCCCAAAAAUCCCAAAUCCUUCAUCCUAAAUUCCCAAAUCCUUCAUCCCAAAAAUCCCAAAAUUCCCAAAUCCUUCAUCCCAAAAAUCCCAAAAUUCCCAAAUCCUUCAUCCCAAAUCCCAAAAAUCCCAAAAUUCCAAACUCUUCAUCCCAAAAAUCCCAAAUCCCAAAAUUCCUAAACCCUUCAUCCCAAAAAUCCCAAAUUUUUAAAAUCUUCACCCCAAAUCCCAAAUCUUCAUCCCAAAAAUCCCAAAAUCUCCAUCCCAAAUCCCCAAAUCUUCAUCCCAAAAAUCCCCAAAUUCCCAAAUCCUUCAUCCCAAAAAUUCCAAAUCCCAAAUCCUUAAAUCCUUCACCCCAAAAUCCCAAAAUUCCCAAAUCCUUAAGCCUAAAAAUCCCAAAAUUCCCAAACCCUUAA